CCCAUUUGGAUUUUUGUUGGCUGUUUUGUGUGUGUUUUUUUAAACUUUUGUUUGUCAUUUGUAAAUUUUAUAAAUUUACCACAAUGCAAAGUGAUUAUUUAAGGAAAUUAUUAUUGGAAACUACGCAGAUGUUUUAGAAAGAUAUUCAUUGAAGCUGAAAAUAAUUGGAGAUUUAGAUCCAUAUACAAUUCAGUCAUCAGAAUUGGAUUUUACAGUGCAUUCCAUCAAUUACUGUUAGAUAGACAAUGCUAUUAUAGAUAGACUGGUAGAGUCUCACAGUUACUACUUUAAGCAGCAGAUGAAAGCAUACAAAGCCUUCAGGCUCAUAAAAGCCUUCACAACUGGAUUUGUUUUGAAACAUUUGAUGUUUUGAUAUGAUUUCUAUAUUAUUGUUGGAAAGGUGAAGAAUUCCCAAAAAGCUAAUGCUAAACCACUAGAUGCUUGGGUGAUAGCCAGUUCCAAUGGCAUAGCAAAUGCACAUUGUAUGUGUAUUGCCGGUAAUAGUGAAGUUUGCAGCCAUAUUGCAGCAAUCUUAUUUGCAGCUGAG